AGCAGCCGCGGUAAUUCCAGCUCCAAUAGCGUAUAUUAAAGUUGUUGCAGUUAAAAAGCUCGUAGUUGAAUUUCGGGAUCAAUAUGUUGGUCGUGCCUUGGUACGUACUGGCAUUAUUGGUUUCUACCUUCUGAAGAACCUCGAUGUCAUUAAUUUGGUGUCUUGGGGAAUCAGGACCGUUACUUUGAAAAAAUUAGAGUGUUUAAAGCAGGCUCGCGCUUGAAUACAUUAGCAUGGAAUAAUGAAAUAGGACGUUUGAUUCUAUUUUGUUGGUUUCUAGGAUCGACGUAAUGAUUAAUAGGGAUAGUUGGGGGCAUUAGUAUUCAAUUGUCAGAGGUGAAAUUCUUGGAUUUAUUGAAGACUAACUACUGCGAAAGCAUUUGCCAAGGAUGUUUUCAUUAAUCAAGAACGAAAGUUAGGGGAUCGAAGACGAUCAGAUACCGUCGUAGUCUUAACCAUAAACUAUGCCGACUAGGGAUCGGAUGAUGUUAAUUUUUUAAUGACUCAUUCGGCGCCUUAC
rnacentral:misc_RNA from 1 species